GACGAACGCUGGCGGCGUGCCUAAUACAUGCAAGUCGAGCGGACGGAUGGGAGCUUGCUCCCAGACCGUCAGCGGCGGACGGGUGAGUAACCCGUGGGCAACCUGCCUGUAAGACUGGGAUAACUCCGGGAAACCGGGGCUAAUACCGGAUAACUCUUUCCCUCACAUGAGGGAAAGCUGAAAGAUGGCAUCUCGCUAUCACUUACAGAUGGGCCCGCGGCGCAUUAGCUAGUUGGGGAGGUAACGGCUCACCAAGGCGACGAGGCGUAGCCGACCUGAGAGGGUGAUCGGCCACACUGGGACUGAGACACGGCCCAGACUCCUACGGGAGGCAGCAGUAGGGAAUCUUCCGCAAUGGACGAAAGUCUGACGGAGCAACGCCGCGUGAGUGAUGAAGGUUUUCGGAUCGUAAAACUCUGUUGUCAGGGAAGAACAAGUACCGGAGUAACUGCCGGUACCUUGACGGUACCUGACCAGAAAGCCACGGCUAACUACGUG
rnacentral:rRNA from 1 species